rnacentral:rRNA from 1 species
UACGUAGGGUGCAAGCGUUGUCCGGAAUUAUUGGGCGUAAAGAGCUCGUAGGCGGUCUGUCGCGUCUGGUGUGAAAACUCAGGGCUUAACCCUGAGCUUGCAUCGGGUACGGGCAGACUAGAGUGCGGUAGGGGAGACUGGAAUUCAUGGUGUAGCAGUGAAAUGCGUAGAGAUCAUGAGGAAGACCAGUGGCGAAGGCGGGUCUCUGGACAGUUCCUGACGCUGAGGCACGAAGGCCAGGGGAGCAAACGGG